rnacentral:lncRNA from 1 species
UCGUAAUCUUGCAACCAAAACCCAAAACAGAUAAAUAUGGGAAGAGAGGAUUUAGCGGACGAGAGGAAGGAGGGAAGGACGCAGACGCACAAACGCAGUCUCAUGAUCUCCGACUUCAAAAGAACUGUCAGGCUUCAGAAGAACUGUCAUCCCACGAUCUCUACAUAGACGGUAACUACCACACCAACGUCAAGUAAAAAUGGAACAGACGAAGCAAACGAAAAAAGGAACAAAAAGAAGAGCAGAGCAAAAUCAAAUCCAAAAGAAGGAGUAAAUUUAAAUCAUUUCGGCAAAGGUGGGAGUCAUCGGUCUUUACUCCGCUUAGCGAUUUCGGUUGCGAUUCUGGUAAGUAAUAUUGAUUGGGUUUUUUUAGGUUAUAAUUUGGGAUCUGUAUUUGGGAUUGGAAGGGAAAUUGUUGAAAUUCUUCUCAAUGGAUUGACCUUUCUUUUGUUCAAAACUUCUCACACGGGUGGAACAAAACCAACAAUUAGGAGGAGCAGAGCUCCACCAGACGAAGAGAAAAUUGCUAUCAAUUCGACUGAGGUUGGAACUGAUAAUCGAUUGAGAUUGGUAUUUGUAUAUUUUUCAAUAUUCACUUUUUCCUUACUUAUAUUGUGUUCUGUGUUGUGAGUCUAAAGUUCUACAUAUGAUUUUUUUUUUUUCUGUGCAUUUUCUUCUGUGAUGUAGUGCUGAGACGGCUUGGAAUGAAGUGCAUGAAGUUAAAUAGGCCAUAGAGACUCCAAAGCCUAGACUUACUCACAACCUGGUAUGUUUAUCAGUACUCGCAGACUCAUGUUUAAAGUUUUUUGCUUGAUUACUCAUGCUCUAAAUAUGCCUAUGGCCCAUCUUAGUAAAUGGAUGUGGAUUAGGUGAAAUUGAGAACCGUUCUUGAAAUGAUGUAAUUUAGUUAUCUAGGCUUUUGUUUUUUUUUUUUUUGGGUAUGUAAGAGUGGUGGAAUUGGGAAUCCCUUAUUUAGGUGAUGUGUUUUUUUCCUGUAGCUAGGGAGGAGUGGAAAAUGCUAUGGAAAAGGUAGAGAACGAGAAAUUCAAUGGAGUAUAUAUGCUUUUAAUAUAUUUGCAUCCUUUUUCUUUUGCUUUUGAUUAACUUGGUGGUUACCUUGGAAUUGUUUGUAUAUCUUCUUUUGAUUGUGACUAGUACUACUAAAUAUGUAUGAGCUUAAAACAAGAUCCAUAGCAUGAACUAUAGAUCCCCUCUUGUGUGAUUAUAACAAUUAGUAUCAAGGCCUUAUGUCAAAUUAGAAUGAUUUCCCUAAUUGCAAUAAACUAGUUUGACUCAGACUUAUAGAUACUGAGAUACUAACUGGACAAUUUGUUGGGACUCGAGUUUUUCUCCUUAGGAUUUCUUUGAAAAGUCAAGAAAGUGCUGGGCUACCAUUUCAAUUAACAAGAAAGCAAUUUCCAGUCAAACUGAGUUUCUCUUUGACCAUAAACAAACCUCAAGGUCAGACUAUCCCACAAGUAGGUGUUUACCUCCUGGAUCAUGUUUUUAGUCAUGGACAAUUUUAUGUGGCAUUGUCUAGAGGAGUAUCGAAGUCGACCACAAAGAUUCUGGUUAAAAAAGGUUUUGAAAUUGGUCAAGAUGGUGUGUUUACUAAUAACGUCAUAUUUAAAGAAGUUUUGCUUCAUUCGAAGACAAAUGAUAUGUCGUCUUCAUAGGUACCUCAAUGCAUAAAUGUGAUUAGAAAGUUCAAUAUUUGAAUGUAUGUUUUUUUUUUUUUUUACCAUCUUUAAGUUUGUAUAGUUCUUUUUAUUUGUAUGAAUGAUAUGAGGUAAGGGAGCUGAACUGAAGAAAAGGUUUCAAAAAGUCAAAAGUAUAUCAAAAACUACAAGGUAUACGUGCUUUACUAGAACUAUAUAAAACUUGAGGACCAAAGUCACUGUCUUAUGUUAUUGUUUUCUGUUAUUGAUUUGUAGUUUAAGCGCGACGGUUAACAAAUAGAUGGCUGAGAUGGAGUCGAUUGGAGCAUGUCAACUUUAUCGUACAUAUUUGUAUAGAUUGAUGUAUAAUAGUCACUUUUAAAACUAAUUUUUUUUCCGUGGUGGUACAGAUAAUAAGUAGUCUUAAAUGUGGCCUUCUUUAGCUGGUCGGUUACUGAUUUUUAGAGAAAGUUUUGGAAGCUUCAAUCGCGGUCUUCUUUAGCCGGUCGAUUACUAAUUUACGGUC